GCUCCGCCCUAGGUAUGGAGGAGCUUCUUAUUCAGUGGCUGCACCGGGCCCGAUUCUUCACUGAGAGUCUCCAACACAGCCCACCGAGCCCAAUCAACCUGAUCCGACCGGCUUUUCGAGAUCGAGAUAAACCCCUCCGUUCUCGAGACCCGAUCCCUGGUGGCCAGUAUGGAGAACCACUCGUCGAGCCCAACACGGCGUUAUUUAAUCUCGUCCUCAAGGCUAUGCACGGUGGCAAAGAGUCGGAAGUCGCUAAUGUUGAGUACAGUGAAUCAGUGGUUGAUUGAUCUUGGAACUCCAGGGUGGUUAAGAUAUUUAAGUUUGAAGUGCCAUGAAUAGAACAGAUUCAAGAUCUUGAGAAUGAUAUGAUGAAGUACUUCAGAGAGGAUCUGCAUAGGCAGCUUCUUAGUACAUAUUUUAAGAAGCAAGUCGAUGGGCUUGAGAUACUGCAGAAGGCACUUCCUAGAAAGGAAAUUACUGUAGUUCUGGAUAUACUGCCUAGGUGGUUUGUUUUACAAUUUUGUAAAUCGAACAUAACAUCUCUGUUAAAGGU